GGCAGGUCACACGCAUGGAGUGGCCUCGUCACCGUCCCAGGGAAGCUGAGGCUGGUAGGUGGCUUUGGAACAGCCAAACUCACCGCAAUCGUGAGGGCCUGAAGUUUUCCUUCCUCCUGUGUCUCUGUUCUGGAAAGCCUUCAGUGAUGGAUCGUUGAACGGCUCUGAUCUGAUGCUGGCCAAGGAGGGAUUUAGUGGUCCUGGCUCCUUCCAUCUCAUUCACAUUGUCCUUCUCAAGGACAGCUGAACAUCUGCUGCCCAUAGGUAACUCCAGGCCGCCGCUCCCUGCCUGGGUGUGAAACCUCUGCCUGCCUCCAUCCCCAGCUCUGACCUGCCCUUGGAGCUUGCAAGUGAUUGUUUUCAUCCUGCUCCCACUGUCUGGGGCUUUCCAAGUGUUGAUUAAAAGGUACCAUCACUGCAAAACGUGCUGUGCCUGAGUGGCUGUGGAUUUCAGCAAGGGAGACUCAGUGUGUACUGGAACGGUCAGCACCGAUUCUCUGCCAGAUGUCAGCUCUGACCCCCAGCAGUUUCAGCAGUAGAUCCGUUUAAAAAUUGGAAGAUUGUUUUUUAUUCUCAAAAGAAAGGAAAAAAAGCAGGGAGCAGGGCUGGAAAAUCUCAACCCAGAAAGGGAAAACUGAAGCAAAUCGUGAGCAACAGAGCACAGAGAUGUAGCUGGUUACACUCAGCCAGAACAUGAACUUUAGACACUGCCUGUGCUCCAGUUUGUGUCUGCAGCACAGAGAGGCCCUGAGGAAAAGGCGGUGGAGCUCUAUUAUCUCACAGCCAGAUCCUUGUGGUGCUGAGGGGAAACAUAGAGCAGGCAGGGCUGGGCUGCCUCCCUCCCUUCCCAGUGCACCCUGCAAAUGCCAGUCAAUGGCUCCCAGAGCUCUGAUAAUUCCAACCAUGACUCAGAGACCAAAAAUCAA